rnacentral:rRNA from 1 species
UGGCAUUGCUUGUUAUAUGGAUAACUCUGGUAAUUCUAUAGCUAAUACAUGCUCACAAACCUGACUUGGUGGAAGGGUUGUGCUUAUUAGUUCCAGAACCAAUCCAAGCUCUGCUUGGUCAUGUGGUGAUUUAUGAUAAGUUAUCGAAUCAAACUGCGCAUGCUGAUGAUGCACCAUGUAAGUAUCUGACCUAUCAGCUUCCGACGGUAAGGUAUUGGCUUCCCGUGGCAAUGACAGGUAACGGAGAAUUAGGGUUUGAUUCCGGAGAGGGAGCCUGAGAAAUGGCUACCACAUCUAAGGAAGGCAGCAGGCGCGCAAAUUACCCAAUCCUGAUUUAGGGAGGUAGUGACAAGAAAUAACAAUACAUGGCAUCCAUGUCUUGUAAUUGGAAUGGGCUAAAUUCAAAUUAUUUUGUGAGUAUCAAUUGGAGGGCAAGUCUGGUGCCAGCAGCCGCGGUAAUUCCAGCUCCAAUAGCGUAUAUUAAAGUUGUUGCGGUUAAAAAGCUCGUAGUUUGAUUUCUGUUGCGGGUGACUGGUCCGCCCUCUGGGUGAGCAUCUGGUCUCGCCUUGGCAUUUUCUUAGGUAGCACAACUGCACUUGAUUGUGUGGCGUGUCACCAAAGGUGUUUACUUUGAGGAAAUCAGAGUGCUUCAAGCAGGCAUGUGUCUUGGAUACAUUAGCAUGGAAUAAUAGCAAAAGGUUUCAGCUUUUUAUUGUUGGUUUUUAGAGCUGAGACAAUGAUAAAUAGGGAUAGUUGGGGGCAUUUGUAUUUAACUGUCAGAGGUGAAAUUCUUGGAUUUGUUAAAGACACUCCUCUGCGAAAGCAUCUGCCAAAGAUGUUUUCUUUGAUCAAGAACGAAAGUUAGGGGAUCGAAGACGAUCAGAUACUGUCCUAGUCUUAACCAUAAACUAUGCCGGCUUGAGAUUGGAGGUUGUUAUGCACAUGAUUCCUCCAGCAUCUUAUGAUAAAUCAAAGUCUUUGGGU